rfam:Triticum aestivum genome assembly, contig: Triticum_aestivum_CS42_TGACv1_scaffold_527058_6DL
AAAGAAUUCCCGUCCGGAAAUACUUGUCGGAGGAAUUGAUGUAUCUAGACGUAUUUUAGUUCUAGAUACAUCCAUCUUUAUGCAUUUCUGUGACAAGUAUUUCCGGGCGGAGGGAGUAUUUG